rnacentral:rRNA from 1 species
AUUGAACGCUGGCGGCAGGCCUAACACAUGCAAGUCGAGCGGAUGAAGGGAGCUUGCUCCUGGAUUCAGCGGCGGACGGGUGAGUAAUGCCUAGGAAUCUGCCUGGUAGUGGGGGAUAACGUCCGGAAACGGGCGCUAAUACCGCAUACGUCCUGAGGGAGAAAGUGGAGGAUCUUCGGACCUCACGCUAUCAGAUGAGCCUAGGUCGGAUUAGCUAGUUGGUGGGGUAAAGGCCUACCAAGGCGACGAUCCGUAACUGGUCUGAGAGGAUGAUCAGUCAAACGGGAAAUGAGACAGGGUCCAGACCCCUAGGGGGGGCAGCAGGGGGGAAUAUUGGACAAGGGGGGAAAGCCGAAUCCAGCCAAGCCGGGUGUGUGAAGAAGGUUUUCGGAUUGUAAAGCCCUUUAAGUUGGGAGGAAGGGAAGUAAGUUAAUACCUUGCUGUUUUGACGUUACCAACAGAAAAAGCCCCGGCUAACUUCGU